rnacentral:rRNA from 1 species
AUUGAACGCUGGCGGAAUGCUUUACACGUGCAAGUCGAGCGGCAGCACGGGGGCAACCCUGGUGGCGAGCGGCGAACGGGUGAGUAAUACAUCGGAACAUGCCCAGUCGUGGGGGAUAACACUUCGAAAGAAGUGCUAAUACCGCAUACGUCCUGAGGGAGAAAGCGGGGGAUCUUCGGACCUCGCGCGAUUGGAGUGGCCGAUGUCAGAUUAGCUAGUUGGUGGGGUAAAGGCCUACCAAGGCAACGAUCUGUAGCUGGUCUGAGAGGAUGAUCAGCCACACUGGGACUGAGACACGGCCCAGACUCCUACGGGAGGCAGCAGUGGGGAAUUUUGGACAAUGGGGGCAACCCUGAUCCAGCCAUUCCGCGUGAGUGAAGAAGGCCUUCGGGUUGUAAAGCUCUUUCGGCAGGAACGAAACGGCGAGCUCUAACAUAGCUUGCUAAUGACGGUACCUGAAGAAGAAGCACCGGCUAACUACGUGCCAGCCGCCGCGGUAA